CUACGGGAGGCUGCAGUGGGGAAUAUUGGACACUGGGGGAAACCCUGAUCCAGCAAUGCCGCGUGUGUGAAGAAGGCCUGCGGGUUGUAAAGCACUUUCGGUUGGGAGGACUGCUUCUAGCACUAAUAUUGUUGGAAGUUGACGUUACCUUCAGAAGAAGCACCGGCUAACUCCGUGCCAGCAGCCGCGGUAAUACGGAGGGUGCAAGCGUUAAUCGGAAUUACUGGGCGUAAAGCGCGCGUAGGCGGCUAGAUCAGUCGGGUGUGAAAGCGCCGGGCUUAACCUGGGAGCUGCAUCCGAUACUGUCUAGCUUGAGUACAGGAGAGGAGAGUGGAAUUCCACAUGUAGCGGUGAGAUGCGUAGAUAUGUGGAGGAACACCAAUGGCGAAGGCAGCUCUCUGGCCUGAUACUGACGCUGAGGUGCGAAGGCGUGGGGAGCAAACAGGAUUAGAUACCCCCGUAGUC
rnacentral:rRNA from 1 species